GGACUACCGGGGUUUCUAAUCCCAUUCGCUACCCUAGCUUUCGUUCCUCAGCGUCAGUAACAGCCCAGCAAGCCGCUUACGCCACCGGUGUUCUUCCCAAUAUCUACGCAUUUCACCGCUACACUGGGAAUUCCGCUUGCCUCUACUGCACUCCAGUCCGCCAGUAUCCAAUGCAUUCCCGAGGUUGAGCCCCGAUCUUUAACAUCAGACUUAACGAACCGCCUACGAACUCUUUACGCCCAAUAAAUCCGGACAACGCUUGCAUCCUACGUCUUACCGCGGCUGCUGGCAC
rnacentral:rRNA from 1 species